rnacentral:rRNA from 1 species
UACAGAGGGGGCUAGCGUUGUUCGGAAUUACUGGGCGUAAAGGGCGCGUAGGUGGCCUGUUAAGUCGAACGUGAAAUCCCCGGGCUCAACCCGGGAACUGCGUCCGAGACUGGCAGGCUCGAAUCCGGGAGAGGGAUGUGGAAUUCCAGGUGUAGCGGUGAAAUGCGUAGAUAUCUGGAGGAACACCGGUGGCGAAGGCGGCAUCCUGGACCGGUAUUGACGCUAAGGCGCGAAAGCCAGGGGAGCAAACAGG